rnacentral:rRNA from 1 species
AGAGUUUGAUCAUGGCUCAGGAUGAACGCUAGCGGCAGGCUUAAUACAUGCAAGUCGAGGGGCAGCAUGGUGUAGCAAUACACUGAUGGCGACCGGCAAACGGGUGCGGAACACGUACAGAACCUUCCUUCAAGCGGGGAAUAGCCCAGAGAAAUUUGGAUUAAUACCCCAUAGUAUAUCGAUUAGGCAUCUUUUUGAUAUUAAAGAUUUAUCACUUGAAGAUGGCUGUGCGGCUGAUUAGGUAGUUGGCGGGGUAACGGCCCACCAAGCCUACGAUCAGUAACUGGUGUGAGAGCACGACCAGUCACACGGGCACUGAGACACGGGCCCGACUCCUACGGGAGGCAGCAGUAAGGAAUAUUGGUCAAUGGACGAAAGUCUGAACCAGCCAUGCCGCGUGGAGGAUGAAGGUCCUCUGGAUUGUAAACUUCUUUUAUCUGGGACGAAAAAAGGUCUUUCUAGAUCGUCUGACGGUACCAGAUGAAUAAGCACCGGCUAACUCCGUGCCAGCAGCCGCGGUAAUACGGAGGGUGCAAGCGUUAUCCGGAUUCACUGGGUUUAAAGGGUGCGUAGGUGGGUUGGUAAGUCAGUGGUGAAAUCCCCGAGCUUAACUUGGGAACUGCCAUUGAUACUAUCAGUCUUGAA